UAUAAUUGCAUUGUACUCUGUUUGGAGGGAUGAAAAUCGCAACACGUUGAAUUUCAUAACUGAGGUUUGUACCUCGGGGAAUUUGAGAGAGUAUAGGAAGAAACACAAACACGUAUCGAUGAAGGCAGUGAAGAAGUGGUCUAAGCAGAUCCUUAAGGGAUUGAACUAUUUGCAUACUCAUGAACCUUGUGUUAUCCACAGGGAUCUCAAUUGCAGUAAUGUCUUCAUUAAUGGCAAUAUUGGUCAGGUUAAGAUUGGUGAUUUGGGUUUUGCAACUAUAGUAGGGAAGAGUCAUUCAGCACAUUCGGUUCUUGGAACCCCAGAGUUCAUGGCACCGGAGUUGUAUGAUGAGGAUUAUACCGAGCUGAUUGAUAUCUACUCGUUUGGGAUGUGUGUUUUGGAGAUGGUGACGUUGGAACUACCUUAUAGUGAGUGUGAUAACGUGGUGAAGAUAUACAAGAAGGUAAUAUCCGGAGUGAGGCCCAAGGCCAUGGACAAGGUUAAAGAUCUCGAGGUCAAGAAGUUCAUUGAGAAGUGUCUUGCUCAGCCUAGGGUUAGACCCUCUGCUUCUGAACUCCUUCAAGACCCUUUCUUUAAUGAUAUUAAUGAUGAUGACGAAAACGACGAUGAAGAGUAUACUAGUAACAACUAUUGGCAUGCUUAAGUCAGCCAUAGCUAUUAUUUGCUAGUUGCUAUUAUAUUAGUUAGUUG
rnacentral:misc_RNA from 1 species